CCUACGGGAGGCAGCAGUAGGGAAUCUUUCACAAUGGGCGAAAGCCUGAUGGAGCAACGCCGCGUGCAGGAUGAAGGCCUUCGGGUUGUAAACUGCUUUUAUAAGCGAGAAAUAUGAUGGUAACUUAUGAAUAAGGAUCGGCGAACUACGUGCCAGCAGCCGCGGUCACACGUAGGCUCCGAGCAUUAUCCGGAGUGACUGGGUGUAAAGAGUUGCGUAGGUGGGGUAAUAAGUUGAGAGUGAAAUCUGGUGGCUCCAACAUUAAGACUGUUAGUGAUACUGGUAAUCUCGAGACUGUUAGAGGUAAGUGGAAUUUGUGGUGUAGGGGUGAAAUGCGUAGAUAUUAGGAAGAACACCGAUUGCGAAGGCAGCUUACUGGGACGCUACUGACACUGAGGCACGAAAGCGUGGGUAGCAAACAGGAUUAGAUACCCGAGUAGUC
rnacentral:rRNA from 1 species